GAUACAGCUGGUUUUACAACAUCAAUGAGAUUUUAUUAUUUGUUUCAUUCACUUGUUUUUCAUUUGUUUGCUUGUUUGUUCUGUGUGAUGCACCUUUUACAGAUGACACACUUGCACCAUAUACUGUUCUGUCUUUUUAUGUCUGUAGUUUCUAAAGAUGCUGAGCUGAAUUAUGCUGAAGUGAAAACUAAACCUCACAAUUCAAAUCAAGCUCAUGAAGUAAAUGGAGCUGGAGUGACAGAAGUUCAAGACCAGACUGAAUCAGUGGUGUACUCAGCUAUUAGGACGUAACUCUGUAUUUCAGCAGAAAUUAUAGUUAAUUAUGUUUUUACAUUCUUUGCCGUUUACUCCCUUUAGUCAGUAUUCAACCUGCCUGCUGUUUAACACUGUGUUACCUGUGUGUGAGCCUUCAUACAAUCUGUGAUGAGGCAGAUGCGUUGCCCAUCACCAGAGAUUGUGUGUGUGUGCAAUACUUACCUGAACACCUACCUGUGAUACUCACCUGUUGACAGUUACCUUGCAGAGGCAGCAAAAGGGAGGCUAAGCAGAUAGAGCUCACUCAUGAAUGUGCCGAAGGACCCACGGCUAGCUCAUGAGAGGGGUGAUGUCUGUAGCCUAUGUCACAGAAAGUGGAGUAAGACAGCGUAGCAAAUGUGUAUAUUGCAGCUUGACACUUUUAUCGGUAAUGGGAUCUUGAGACCUUGUAAUAUCGGUUGUGCUUUUAUUUAUCCUUGUUUUUAAUGCACUCUUGUGGGACAGCAACACCCCUGCUGCGGAGAAUGGCAGAGCUCAGGUAAUGCAGGGGCGGGGCUAACCCUAUAAGAAGUGAGGGAAAGGUUCUGGGAGGAGGCUAGCUCAGAUACUCACCUCAGAUUGUGAGGAGAUUGAGGCGUAGAGCAAAGCUAGACAAUUUAGUCUCAUAGCCUUGCGGCUUAAGACUACUUAUGUGCUGCUAUUGAGUCAGGUCAACAUUUUAACCAUCGUUUAUUUUGUGUUUGUACAGUUUUCUUUUGUGUUUUCACUUUUGUAAAUAAAUCACACCAGUGUUUGCAAAGAAUCAUUCCGAGUCAGUCCAUCUUCAGCAUGCAUCUCCAUUCCUCAAACCCAUUCAGCUACAACCUACCCGGUGACUUCGUGUCUCCUCACGGAGUUCGGCGAAGCAUCGUCACACAAUCCAUAUCUAGUUUCAGGAUUUCAGAUCAGCUUUUGGACAAAUCAGCAUGCACUUCAGUUCAAUCAGGGACUGACAGAGGUCAUUUAUUCAUCAAUAACGUGAAGAAUAUUGCUGUCAUUGCUCCACUAAUAACUAACACAGUAACAGUGUUGCACUUUACUGAGAGAAAUACUGCAUAUUUAUGUAGUGCCAUUUCUUUUUUCUUCUUUGAGAAGUAAUCCACUCGACUCCACAUGUUUCACCUGAUUGGCUGUUCAUUAUAAAUAUUAUACAAGCAUUAAUCUUCAUCCAACGGUCUAAAACAACAUUUCACUGCCAUGAUAAAAGGAGUUAAGUGUGAUUCCAUUUGUUAGGUUUUGUGGAGCUGUAAAGUCAGGAUUCCUGUUUAAACUGAAGCUGCUUUUUAUGUAUUUUAAUCAAUCACACACAGAACUGUUGAUGCAGCUGUUUCAAGCGAAAGUUACCCAACAUUGAUUGAUACAUAUGCAAAACUGACUGUAGUGAAAAAACAACCAAUGAGUUUUGUUUUUCUGUAAUGGAUAAUAAAUCUUUGGUUUUUA